rnacentral:misc_RNA from 1 species
CUACGGGAAUACGUGAAAUGUUUGUCCUUAGAUACAUGGAGUUGCAGGGGUCGGUUUGGCCACUCAGCUUUUUGAUGAAGUACUGUGCUAUCUUGCGCAACCGAAUGCUGGCUGAUCCUUCUUUUCUUUUCAAAGUUGGAACAGAGAUAGUCAUUGAUUCUUGUUGUGCCACAUUUGCGGAAGUUCAAAAAAGGGGAAAGGACUUCUGGUCAGAGUUUGAGUUGUAUGCAGCUGACCUUUUGGUUGGUAUUGUGGUUGACAUUGCUUUGGUUGGUAUGUUAGCACCUUAUGCACGUAUUGGGCAGCCAUCUGUUUCAAGAGGUGUAUUUGGAAAAAUACAACAGGCUUGUGCGGCUCUUCCCAGCAGCGUAUUUGAAGCUGAAAGGCCAGGAUGUAAAUUCUCUGUGAAGCAGCGCAUUGCUACAUACUUCUAUAAGGGGGUAUUAUACGGUUCAGUUGGGUUUGGG